CACAGGUUCACCAGUUCCUCAGCUAGGGCACAGCAGGGUCAUUCCUACAGGUCUGUAUCACUUCUCACGGGGGAUUCCCACCCAGUAGGAAGAACAUUUUGCACCCACUGAAUCCUCAGGGUGCCCCAGGCAGGUUUAAAAAGAAUCUACCUCAUGCAGCUAAUGAUGAUUGCAUGGCCUGUAUUAGCGCUAGUCGUUCUCCAAACUCUUUAUGCAUUUGGCCUCAGUAGCACUCUGACAUGCUUCCUCUUCAAUUUACUCAAAUUCUUCAAUCGUUUCUGCCCUGAAGGAGGUGGGAGCUUCCUUCCCCAUGGGUUUCUGGGAUGUGUGAAGUUUGGGGGCUGUCCCCAAGCUUCCCCUCCUGACCUGCAAGCUGCUGCUUCUUCAUGAGAAAUUCAGCGAGCUGCAGCAGUCCGCUGCGCCCUUUGAUCCUGCUCCCCCGAGUUUUACUAUGGGAGGUACAACGGAG